AAAAAGGUGGCAGAGCGGAGAUGUGGCCGACUUGAAAUCGGUUUAUGGGGGCUCAAUUCCCUCCCUUUUUG
rnacentral:tRNA from 2 species